rnacentral:rRNA from 1 species
GAUGAACGCUGGCGGCGUGCCUAAUACAUGCAAGUCGAGCGAACAGAUAAGGUGCUUGCUCCUUUGACGUUAGCGGCGGACGGGUGAGUAACACGUGGGUAACCUAACUAUAAGACUGGGAUAACUUCGGGAAACCGGAGCUAAUACCGGAUAAUAUUACGAACCGCAUGGUUCGAUAGUGACAGAUGGUUUUGCUAUCACUUCAAGAUGGACCCGCGCCGUAUUAGCUAGUGGGUAAGGUAACGGCUUACAAACGCGACGAUACGUAGCCGACCUGAGAGGGUGAUCGGCCACACUGGGACUGAGACACGGUCCAGACUCCUACGGGAGGCAGCAGUAGGGAAUCUUCCGCAAUGGGCGAAAGCCUGACGGAGCAACGCCGCGUGAGUGAUGAAGGUCUUCGGAUCGUAAAACUCUGUUAUUAGGGAAGAACAUACGUGUAAGUAACUGUGCACGUCUUGACGGUACCUAAUCAGAAAGCCACGGCUAACUACGUG